GGUGGCUCAGCGGUAGAGCUCUUGCCUUGCAUGCAUGAGGCCCUGGGUUCGAUUCCUCAGCACCA
rfam:Dipodomys ordii contig_80131, whole genome shotgun sequence.